UGCAGAGAUGAUGCAGUCUCUCGCUCAGCGUCCGGCUCCCGCCAACACCAACCGGGAGCGCCGGCCUCGCUACCAGCACCCGAAAGGUGCUCCCAACGCCGACCUCAUCUUCAAGACCGGAGGAAGAGCGAAACGAGACAGAAAUGAAAGACAGGAGAAGCAGGACAGAGACCAGAGACACGAGACCGAGUAGAAAUCAGAUCAGAUCGAGACGUUAAUAAACUUUAUCAGCAGAGACGAAACUUGAGGAGGCGAGUCUUAAAAACACAGAGACUUCCUGUUUAUAUUUGCACUUUAUAUUCUGAUUUUCAGGAGCUAAACAGCUGAAAUUCUAUUUUUCUUUUAACGGUCUGAAUAUAUCUGUAAAUAAAGAUUAUUUGGAGUUUAUUCUUUAAAGUCA